rnacentral:lncRNA from 1 species
GUUCUUCCAAGGUUUAUUCUUGAAAGAACAUCUCUUUUAGAAAUGUAGGCAGACUUUUUGCACACUGGGACCUGUUUGUGUCCAUUAGUGACUAGAAGGAUCACAAGGAUAGAAUGGUUCUGGUUGUGAAAUCAUACCUCUCAGCCUUUCAUGCAAGAAGGAAAGGGUCAGUUGCCAAAAAGCCAUACAGUCCCAUUUUGGGCAAGAUUUUUCAGUGUCACUGGACACUACCAAAUGAUACUGAAGAGAACACAAAACUAGUUUCAGAAAGACCAGUUCCCUGGGUUUCCAAAAAUACUGUAACAUUCGUGGCUGACCAGAUUUCCCAUCAUCCACCCAUUUCAGCCUUUUAUGUUGAGUAUUUUAACAAGAAGAUACAAUUCACUGCUCAUGUCUGGGCCAAAUCAAAAUUCCUUGGGAUGUCAAUUGGUGUUCACAACAUAGGGCAGGGCUGUGUCUCAUGUCUAGACUAUGAUGAACAUUACAUUCUCACAUUCCUCAAUGGCUAUGGAAGGUCUAUCCUCACAUGGUCCUGGGUGAAAUUAGGUGGAGAAUGUUGUAUUAAUUGUUCCAAACAGGCUAGAGUGCAAAUAUCAUCUUCCAUACUAAACCCUUCUAUGUGGGCAAGAAGCACAAAAUUACUGCUGAGAUUUUUUUCUCCAAGUGACAAGAAGUCUUUUUGCUCAACUGAAGGGGAAUGGAAUGGUUUGAUGUAUGCAAAAUAUGCAACAUGGGAAAAUACAUCCUUUGCAGAUACCAAGAAGUUGCCUGUAAUCAAGAAGAAAGUGAUGAAGCUAGAAGAUCAGAACAAGUAAGAAUCCCGCAGCCUUUGGAAGGAUGUCACUUUCAACUUAAAAAUCAGCAACUGAAGCAAAGCACAGGCUUGAAUAAAAGAGCAGAACCCCAAGAAAGGAAAGAGGGAAAGAGAAAGAAAUUCAGUGGGAGACAAGGUUAUUUCAUAAAGAUGGAGAAUAUUGGGUUUAUGAUGAACCAUUACUGAAAUAUCUUGGUGCUGCCAAGCAUUAAGUUUGAAGAUGCAAAGUAUAUACCUGAUGAUCAGGGCAGUAGACAUAAUUCAGCAACAAACAAUCUUCCUUUGGGAGAAACCUGUUCACUACCUUCUUAUUAGAGUGGUUCCUAUCUCAGGGAUACUGGACUUUUGGACUCAGAUGAACAAUUAAAGUGCAAAAAACUUCCCUUUUCCCUCUGUGGCAGUUAUGAUUUUGACUUCAGUCCUGAGAAAAACUUCAGGUUUUGAAAACGAGAUGUCUGCUCCUUUUCCAAACCCCACACGUUGAAAAUCAUUUAUAAAUCCAAACCUGAAACUCUUUACUCUAGUACUGCUAUUAAGAUAUACAACCUGUUUCUUAGUACAUAUAAUCUUGAGAUACGUACAUGCACACACACACACACACACACAUAUAUAUACACACCACAUACACACACGUGUAUAUAUGUAUAUAUCUGGUGCCAGAUUUUUUCAUAAAUACUCUGCCUAAUGUAAAUAUGGGUUCCUCUGAGUUGUUUUAG